UGGUGCAGGAGGAUGGGGAAUGGGCGUUGUGGUCACUUCAUCAUGUUGUCUCUGCUGCUCUUUCCUCCUCAGGGGGAGGACUCCUCACACUCUUCCUCUGCUCCAGUGGGGAGGUCCCUUCUGUGGCAGACAGCCCUCCAUGAAUCUCUCCAAUGUGAGUCCUUCCCUCAUCUGUCUGUCUUGGAGCUGGCUGGCAUUGGCUCUGUUGGACAUGGGGGAAGCUUCUGGCUGUUUCUUGAGGAAGACACCCCUGUAGCCCCCCCGCUACCAAAACCUUGCCAGGCAAACCCCAUACAGUGCCAUCUCUGAGCACUGUUGAAAACACCCUGAGCAAGAACCAGUGCUCAACACACGAGUCCUCCCCACACCGAUGGUUCUUGGGUGUCAUGAAUGUUGAUAUUCUUAUAUUAAGGGGACAGUGUGUCUCUUAAACUGUAAUGUUGGUAGUUCAUGAAAGUGUUUUCUAUUUAAAUCAAGACCAGCUCUGAGGAUAUUUUUCUUUGUUAUUGUAGCAAGUUUUGAUUUUGUGCUCGCAUUUUUCUAUCCCCUUUUUUGUGGUGAUUCUUAGUCAUUUUGUGAGAACUUAAAGCAUCAGUCAUACCGAGAGGUCUGGGAGAAAUUGGGGUUUUUUUAUUUCCUUUGAAGUUGUGUUUGCAUGUUGGAUUCUUUUUUUUUUGUCUAGAAGUGGUAUCUGUUCAUAGAAGGGCUAAUCUGCAUUGUUCAGCUUAUACAGAGCAGAAUUUUCCUGAGCAUAGGCACGCGUUUACAGCAAGAUUUCAAAGACUGGGUUCUUGGAGAGGGGGUUGAGUUUUCUGGACACCUACUGGAUGGCUUUUCUGGCUGGUAGUGAGCAAAUGAGAAUUUGCUGCUCGCAUUGGCCAGCAAAAAUACGUAUUUUUAACUGGGUUGCUCAUGCAUGUAAAUGCAGCCAUCUAUAAUAGAGUUCAGCUGGCAUUAUGUGGCUAAAAGAUGAAAGGCUCGCCUCGGGGCACUGACAAAUGAGCUCUGGAAAACUGUGUGUGUGGCUUAAAGAUGUUACCUCCCAAAGGCAUCUGCUCCUCUAAGGAGCCAGCAGGAGGACAAACUAAUGCCUCGGACAUGUCCGUGUGACAGUCAAUGGCUGUCUUUAAAAAUUGCCAUGAAAGAUACCUUUUAAAUGUGGGGGCAUUAAAUGCUCUGUAAGGUACACGCCAUACAAUGCCAUACAACAGAAAAAACUUAGCUGUGUCUGCAUUUGUUUCUGUAUUCUAGUUCCUAUGGACAGAACAGGAAGUGUGGAGCAGAAGAUGGUAGGUGAUAUUCUCUCUAAAGGCCUCUAAAACACCAGUAGUGGGAGAUUCUGCUUUGUCACACUUGCAAAGAGUAGGUGUCACAGCAGCAUCAAUAACAAACUGCGUGACCAACUUCCUUAUCCAAUAACAGGAUAAAAUAUUUUUUUCUUGAUAUCAAAAAGAGCUCUUAGGCUUUAGCAAACGAGAAGAUCCUUCAGCUCAGACUGUGUUGGAGCAUCCACCUGGAUUGUAGCAACUGAUUUACUUUUCUGUACUGCAAAUUGCAUACUAUUUGACAUUGUUUUACCUGGCUGAGGACUGCCUAGCAGUCUACAACUUGUAGUCAUUACGUAUCAGCAAGUCUCCGUUAUAAUUUGUCAUCAAUAUCUGUCUUUUAAAAAUAAUUCCUUAUAUCGUAAGAUAAAAACUGUUUUCCAACCCCAUCUGUUGCUCUUGGUUUCUCUGUGCUCAUAUGAAUCUCUGUCAGUUCUCUGCAGUUCCCCUCACACCAGUAGUCCCAUCAGUUUCUGUGGUGGCCAUCUCUUCCCCUUAAUUUCUGUUUGCUUAACGAACUCCAGCAGCUUUAAAGGUGGAGAUAACGCUGUGUCAUGUUGCUCUAUCUCAGCUCAAGACUCUAAAGCAAAACUACCUUUAAGGAAUGCCAGACCAUGGAGUCGCUCAUGUUUUUUAUUUCUCUUAUUUAGAAUCAUAGAAUUUCUCAAGUUGGAAGGGGCUCAUAAGGAUCAUCAAGUCCAACUCCCACCUCCUCACAGGACUAUCUAAAACUAACCCAUAUGACUAAAAGCAUCAUCCAGAUUCUCCUUAAACUCUGACAGGCUUGGGGCUGGGGACCACUUAGCUGGGGAGCCUGCUCCCCUGCAUGCUCUCAAUGAAGAAACUUUUCCUGAUGUCCAAUCUGAACUUCCCCUGAGGUGGCUUCAUUCUAUUUCCUCAUGUCCUGUCGCUGGUCACCGGAGAAGAGAUCAGCUGCCCUUCUGCUGUCCCCUGUGAAUAAGCUGUGAUCUGUGAUGUCACCCUUCAGCCUUCCCUUCUCCAAGCUGAACAAGCCAAGUGACCUCAGCUGCUCUUCAGAUCUCUUGCCCUUGAGACCUUUUACCGUCUUGGUGACCUUCCUCUGGGCUCACUAAUAGUUUGAGCUCCGUAUUUUGAGGUGCCCAAAAGCCAUGGGGCCUAAGAGACCUGCUCAACAACCAGAAGCAUCGUAUGUCAAGUACUGUCAAAACACAGAGGAAACUAAUAGUUAAUGAAUUGGCAAUUUAAGAGCAUUAACGACCACAGGAAGGCGUAUACGUAAGAGUGAUAUCUCCACGGUAGGAACUUUGAACUACCCUGUCAGCUUCGUGAAAGGAAGAAGUGGAAGGCAUUGAAGAGGUAACAGGGUGCCUUCCUGGAUGACUGAAGACACCUGAUUUAGGAGUAUGGGACACCCUGGAUAAAGUAUGAAACUACAUCUUUAACAAGUUAUAGAGGCUGAAGUUACUGGCUAGGUAGAGAUUGGAGCUUAGUUAACUUGGAGCUAAGUAGAGAUUGGAACUUGUUAUUUUUAUAACAAAUAGGGGACAGAUGAAAUGAAAUUUUUCAUUAACUAAAAUAGUCAAAUACAGUAUCUAUAUGGUAGCUGUAAUAAAAUGUUAUGACAGUGGGACAUAAUACAGUUGCAUUUUUAUCAACUAUCCUAUAAAAGUUAUGUUUUACUGUGAAA